CAUAUGCCUAUCAAAAACUAUUUUUGGUUGCUUCAAGAGAUCAUUCUCAUUUGCUUGUUUUCCCAAAAAAAAAUAAAAAGAAUAAAAUUGCUGAAGUAUAUAAGGGUUUGAAUAGAUCAACAAUUAUGAGAGGAUCACAAAGCAAUUGAAAGUGCUAAAUAGCACAUUCAAAGAUUAUAGGCUGAUAACUGCAGAAGGUGGAAGGCAUAUUAUCAAGUGCAAGAAGAUUUUUAGCGAAGAGCUCGUAACUAUCAUGAUUUUAACCAUUCCAGAAAACCAGAAAAACAAUGGAUUUCCACAGAGUAUCUUAAAUCGCGUCUCUAUGCUCAAAAACUUGAACCUCCCCAAUAUUGUCGGAUUGCAGGCAGUGAUGGAAACUGAGGAUGCGGUGUUUCUCGUUUAUGAGCAUUUUCACACUAGUCUUCGAAAACACCUCGCCAAUCCGGAGUUUUUAAACAUUCCAAACUGGAAAAAAAUUUUUCUGCGUCAAGCUCUCUCUGGAUUGGCAUUCUGCCAUAUUCGCAAAAUUCUACCCAGAGAUCUGAAACCUCAUAAUAUUCUGGCUUCAGUUGAAAAUUUGGAUGUCAAGAAAGUGAAGCCAUCUGACUUUAGUGCGGCAAAAACUACUGAACCUCCUCUUUCACCCUACUCUAUUAAUGCAUGACACUUUAAAUCUUUUUUGAAUUUGAGCUAUAUGGUGUAGUUUAUUUAAUGAAUAAAUGUUACUCCCCAAAAAUUUGAAGUUAUUAAUGCUUUUGCAAAUUUAUUUUCAAUUUUCAGAUGGGUAAUCCUUGCUAUAAAGCACCUGAACUUUUGAUGGGUUCUACCAAUUACUCAACUGCAAUUGAUAUCUGGUCUAUGGAAUGCAUAUUUGCUGAGAUGCUUAGGCUCGAACUUCUGUUCAUUGCUUGCUUGGUACGCCAACUGAAGAAACCUGGCCUGGUGUGUCUUCUAUAUGCAACUAUAUUGAAGCAUUCAACCCUCCAAUUGUGCCAAAGGACCUAGCAGCAGAAUUCCCUGAGCUCGAACCAGAUGGUCUUGAUCUUCUUUCGAAAAUGCUUCGCCUGUGCCCAAAUAGCAGAAUUUCAGCUGAUCAAGCUCUUGAGCAUCCAUAUCUUCGAAUUUUAACCACCCACGAUGAUUGAUGAAGCUCCUGUAUUCACCACUUAAGAUUUCUUUUUUCAUCUAAAUAAACAAUCUUAUAGAAUAUUAGGUAUCCUAUUGGAUCUAUCCUGUGUAAUAAAUUUUUCUCCUGUGAAUCAGUAUGUGAGGAUUCCUUGUGUUGUUUUCUA